AGCAGCCCUCUCGUUAGCUGUGGAGGUAUCUGAUCUCAGCUACAGCGGAUCGCCCAGCGAUGCUGCUUCUUACCUCGGAAAGAAGUUGGAAUACCUUGUCACUAGCCGUCCGACCGCUGUAAAUCUUUCCGAUGCUGCCUCGAAACUUCAAAAUCUUGUGCUAAAGACCGCCGAGAAAGCUACAGAUCCGGCAACUGUUUUU
rnacentral:misc_RNA from 1 species